rnacentral:rRNA from 1 species
UGCGUAGGCGGAUUGAUAAGUCAGUGGUGAAAACCUUCAGCUUAACUGGAGACUUGCCAUUGAUACUGUUAGUUUUGAGUACGGUCAAGGUAGGCGGAAUGUGUAAUGUAGCGGUGAAAUGCUUAGAUAUUACACAGAACACCGAUUGCGAAGGCAGCUUACUGGGCCAUUACUGACGCUGAGGCACGAAAGCGUGGGGAGCGAACAGGAUUAGAUACCCUGGUAGUCU